CACACUCAAUUAGUUAGGAAGGGGGGGAAGGACGGCAGUUCGGUAGCGCUAUUACUCCCAGGGCCACACAACCGCUCAAGGGGUUUGUCCAAGGGGAGGCUAAUCGGCAGGGGGGACCCCCAUCCCACAAACCCCCCUCUCAGUUGGGAUUGGCCUCUGCAACUUGUUCACAGGAAAGAUGGAGUUGGUAGUAAUCGGGGGUCAGCUCGGUGCGGUGAAUACGUUCCCGGGCCUUGUACAGGCAGCCCAGCAACCCAUGUCCCUGAAGACCCGAAUCUGUUUUUAACCCACCCAGAAAACUGAAGUAUAACGUUCCCCGGAGUGUGUAUGAAAGAAAAAAAGACAUGUC
rnacentral:rRNA from 1 species